AGAGAGUGCUUCACACCAUUCCAGUGUGGAAACCUGCCAAAUCUUUCUUAUCCUUUCUGGGGCGAUGAGCGACCUGAAAUCUGCGGUUAUCAAGGAUUCAGGCUCCGGUGCCAAGAAGGUCCGUCCCCUGUUAUAACUAUAAAUGGUCAAGAAUUUUAUGUGAAGUUCGUGAAUCAAUCCGAAAGAGUGAUGAUCAUUUCUCGAAAGGAUUUAUCGGAAAAUAUUUGUCCUCCUGGUGUUGCUGAGAUUCCUAGUACAACUCUGCACGAGACUCCGUUCAGUUAUGUGCCGGAGCUUGAAAACGUAAAUCUAUUCUACAAUUGCUCAAACGAGGUUACGAAGGUACCCACUUUAUACAAAAUUCCGUGUGCUGUAAAUGGCGAACAACGAGAUGCAUUUUAUGCAACUGAUUUGCUUUUGAGCAAGUGGAACCCAGACCCCUCAGAUUGUAAAAUCCGGGUAGAAGUUCCAGUUCCGAAGUUGGAUGUUGAACAACUUAUUAGUGGUGGAAUGGCAGCUUUUUGGAAGCUUUUGAGAGAAGGCUUUAACGUAACGUACAUGUCUGAUACAAUUCGAAUGUGCUAUGAAUGUGUGCAUUCGGGUGGGAUAUGCGGCACCAACUCUUCUACUUCCCGCUUCACUUGUCUUUGCCGCGACCAACCCUAUCCUUAUAAUUGUCCAAAAGGAAAAGGCGAUGGUAUGAAUGUGGGAAUGAAAGUUGGUACAGGCAUAACUGUUGGAGUAGUUGGAAUUUUAAUCGCCUGUGCAUUCAAUUUUUGUUUCAAAAAGAUUCCUUCAGUUUCAUCAAUAAUUUCCUUACAGAAGAUCGUAAAGAAUAAUCAAGAUCUCGAGGCCUUUCUUAAAAACCAUGGGCCUUUAGCUGUAAAUAGGUAUAGCUUUUCAGAAGUGAAGAAAAUGACCAAUUUGUUCAAAGAUAAACUUGGCCAAGGAGGUUAUGGCAGUGUGUACAAAGGAAAGCUUUUUGAUGGUCGUCUUGUAGCAGUGAAAGUCUUAAAUGCAUCUAAAGGAGAAGGACAAGAAUUCAUCAAUGAGGUUGCCAGCAUUAGUAGAACUUCUCAUAUUAAUAUUGUCACUCUCUUGGGUUUUUGUUUUGAGGGUCAGAAAAGAGCUCUAAUAUAUGAGUUUAUGCCAAAUGGAUCUCUUGACAAGUUCAUAUGCUACAAAAGUCCUUUGAAGAGUAGUGAUCAUCAUUUGGGAUGGGAAACUAUGCACCAAAUUGCUAUAGGAAUAGCUCAAGGACUUGAGUACUUACACCGUGGAUGCAACACAAGGAUUGUGCACUUUGACAUAAAGCCUCACAACAUUCUUCUUGAUGAAAAUUUUUGUCCCAAAAUUUCUGAUUUUGGGCUUGCAAAAUUAUGCACCAGAAAGGAUAGUAUUAUAUCCAUGCUAGAGGCUAGAGGAACUAUUGGGUAUAUAGCUCCGGAAGUGUUCAGUAGAAACUUUGGUGGAGUUUCAUCCAAAUCUGAUGUUUAUAGCUACGGUAUGAUGGUUUUAGACAUGGUUGGAGGCAGAGAGGAAGAUGUUGGAACAGAUCAUACGAGUGAGAAAUAUUUUCCACAUUGGAUUUAUAGACAACUUGAGCAAGGCAAUAAAUCCAAAUUGUGUGGUGAGAUUUCCAUUGAAGAGAAUGAAAUUAUUAGGAAAUUGACAAUAAUUGGUCUGUGGUGCAUCCAAACAAUUCCAUCAGAGAGACCAUCCAUGAGUAAGGUGAUAGAAAUGCUAAAAGGUAGCAUAGAAGCCUUAAACAUCCCACCAAAGUAUUUUUUAUCUUCCCCUCCAAGAUCUCCAUCAUCCACUUUUACCAUAUCAAUGACAAAUUGUUGAAAAACUUUUUUUUUUUGGCUUUUUGGUGCAUUAAUUAGACAUGUUUAGGAGGAAGUGACCCAACAAAUUGAGUUAAACUUUCUCAAUUUGAAAAUUUGUAUGGUAUUUAUCUUUUAUUUGUAUGGUCCUUCAAAGAGAAAGGGAAUAACCU
rnacentral:misc_RNA from 1 species